CCUACGGGGGGCUGCAGUGGGGAAUUUUGGACAAUGGGCGCAAGCCUGAUCCAGCCAUGCCGCGUGCGGGAAGAAGGCCUUCGGGUUGUAAACCGCUUUUGUCAGGGAAGAAAAGGUUCGAGCUAAUACCUCGGACUAAUGACGGUACCUGAAGAAUAAGCACCGGCUAACUACGUGCCAGCAGCCGCGGUAAUACGUAGGGUGCAAGCGUUAAGUGGAAUUACUGGGCGUAGAGCGUGCGGACAGGGUUGAAAUCCCCGGGCUCAACCUUGGAACUGCAUUUGUGACUGCAUGACUUGAGUACGGUAGAGGGGGAUGGAAUUCCGCGUGUAGCAGUGAAAUGCGUAGAUAUGCGGAGGAACACCGAUGGCGAAGGCAAUCCCCUGGACCUGUACUGACGCUCAGGCACGAAAGCGGGGGGAGCAAACAGGAUUAGAUACCCGAGUAGUC
rnacentral:rRNA from 1 species